rnacentral:rRNA from 1 species
GACGUAGGGUGCGAGCGUUGUCCGGAUUUAUUGGGCGUAAAGAGCUCGUAGGCGGCUCGUCGCGUCGACCGUGAAAACCCGCGGCUUAACUGCGGGCUUGCGGUUGAUACGGGCGGGCUAGAGUUCGGUAGGGGAGACUGGAAUUCCUGGUGUAGCGGUGAAAUGCGCAGAUAUCUGGAGGAACACCGGUGGCGAAGGCGGCAUCCUGGACCGACACUGACACUGAGGAGCGAAAGCCAGGGGAGCAAACGGG